rnacentral:rRNA from 1 species
GACCAGACUCCUACGGGAGGCAGCAGUGGGGAAUAUUGGGCAAUGGGCGCAAGCCUGACCCAGCAACGCCGCGUGAAGGAAGAAGGCUUUCGGGUUGUAAACUUCUUUUCUCAGGGACGAAGAAAGUGACGGUACCUGAGGAAUAAGCCACGGCUAACUACGUGCCAGCAGCCGCGGUAAUACGUAGGUCCCGAGCGUUGUCCGGAUUUAUUGGGCGUAAAGCGAGCGCAGGCGGUUUGAUAAGUCAGAAGUAAAAGGCUGUGGCUCAACCAUAGUACGCUUUUGAAACUGUCAAACUUGAGUGCAGAAGGGGGGAGUGGAAUUCCAUGUGUAGCGGUGAAAUGCGUAGAUAUAUGGAGGAACACCGGUGGCGAAAGCGGCUCUCUGGUCUGUAACUGACGCUGAGGCUCGAAAGCGUGGGGAGCGGACAGGAUUAGAUACCCGAGUAUC